UAGUCCACGCCCUAAACGAUGUUUACUCGACAUUUGAGCUUCGGCUUGAGUGUCCAAGGGAAACCGAUAAGUAAACCACCUGGGGAGUACGUUCGCAAGAAUGAAACUCAAAGGAAUUGACGGGGACUUACACAAGCAGUGGAGCAUGUGGUUUAAUUCGAUGAUACGCGAGGAACCUUACCUAGGCUAUAAUGUGAGCGCUAUCUGGUGAAAGCCGGAGUUCCUUCGGGACGCGAAACAAGGUGCUGCAUGGUUGUCGUCAGCUCGUGCCGUGAGGUGUUGGGUUAAGUCCCGCAACGAGCGCAACCCCUAUUGUUAGUUGCCAGCGAGUAAUGUCGGGGACUCUAACGAGACUGCCCGCGUAAGCGGAGAGGAAGGUGGGGACGACGUCAAAUCAUCAUGGCCUUCAUGCCUAGGGCUACACACGUGCUACAAUGGCAGGUACAGAGGGUUGCGAAGGGGUGACCUGGAGCUAAUCUCAGAAAGCCUGUCCCAGUUCGGAUUGGAGUCUGC
rnacentral:rRNA from 1 species